rnacentral:rRNA from 1 species
AGGUCACUGCUAUCGGUGUUCGAUUAAGCCAUGCGAGUCGUGAGGGGUAAAGCCCUCGGCGGAGUGCUCAGUAACACGUGGACAACCUACCCAAGAGUCAGGGAUAACCCCGGGAAACUGGGGAUAAUACCUGAUAGGCCAUGACAUCUGGAAUCGAGUUGUGGUUUAAACGUAAGGCUCUUGGAUGGGUCUGCGGCGGAUUAGGUUGUUGCCGGUGUAACGUACCAGCAAGCCUGUAAUCCGUACGGGUUGUGGGAGCAAGAGCCCGGAGAUGGAUUCUGAGACACGAAUCCAGGCCCUACGGGGCGCAGCAGGCGCGAAAACUCUACAAUGCAGGCAACUGCGAUAGGGGAACAUCGAGUGGCAUCCACCAUGGAUGUCUGUCCAAUCGUCUAAAAAACGAUUGUCAGCAAGGGCCGGGCAAGACCGGUGCCAGCCGCCGCGGUAAUACCGGCGGCUCGAGUGGUGGCCGAUAUUAUUGAGUCUAAAGGGUCCGUAGCCGGCUUUGCAAGUCCUAUGGGAAAUCCAGCGGCUUAACCGUUGGGCUUUCAUGGGAUACUACAUUGCUUGGGACUGGGAGAGGUAGGAGGUACUCAGGGGGUAGGGGUGAAAUCCUGUAAUCCUUUGGGGACCACCGGUGGCGAAGGCGUCCUACCAGAACAGGUCCGACGGUGAGGGACGAAAGCUAGGGGCACAAACCGGAUUAGAUACCCGGGUAGUCCUAGCCGUAAACGAUGCUCGCUAGGUGUCACGGCAGUCGUGAAUUGUCGUGGUGCCGUAGGGAAGCCGUGAAGCGAGCCACCUGGGAAGUACGACCGCAAGGUUGAAACUUAA